GGCGCACGGGUGAGUAACGCGUGGAUAAUCUGCCCUUCAGUUGGGAAUAACGUACCGAAAGGUGCGCUAAUACCGAAUAAUGCUGUGAGACUUUGGUCGAUCAGCCAAAGAGAGCCUCUGCUUGCAAGCCCUCGCUGAAGGAUGAGUCCGCGUACCAUUAGCUAGUUGGUAGGGUAAUGGCCUACCAAGGCGACGAUGGUUAGCUGGUCUGAGAGGAUGAUCAGCCACACUGGAACUGAGACACGGUCCAGACUCCUACGGGAGGCAGCAGUGAGGAAUCUUGCGCAAUGGGGGCAACCCUGACGCAGCAACGCCGCGUGAGUGAGGAAGGUCUUCGGAUCGUAAAGCUCUGUCGGAUGGAAAGAACCGCAUGGGGGCGAAUAACCCCCGUGUCUGACGGUACCAUCAAAGGAAGCACCGGCUAACUCCGUGCCAGCAGCCGCGGUAAUACGGGGGGUGCAAGCGUUGUUCGGAAUUAUUGGGCGUAAAGAGCGUGUAGGCGGUCGGAUGUGUCAGAUGUGAAAGCCCUGGGCUUAACCCAGGAAGUGCAUUUGAAACUGUCCGGCUAGAGUA
rnacentral:rRNA from 1 species